AGGUUUCUUGACAGUCUACACCCAAGAUACAACAACGUCGGUUCCCGUUAAUCUCCUUGUCGGUGCACACAAAAGGAGAUCCUCGAACCCAAUAUAAAAUAGCCAAAACCCAAAGAAAGAAAGAUAAAAAGAAUGAGGAAGAGAAGGAUUAUCUAAGUUUU